AGCUCCAAUAGCGUAUAUUAAAGUUGUUGCAGUUAAAAAGCUCGUAGUUGGAUUUCUGGCAGGAGCGGCCGGCCACGCGCUCUGCGCGUGAGUUUGUGCUGUCUCUGGCCAUCCUCGGGGAGAUCGCGUUUGGCAUUAAGUUGUCGGGCGUGGGAUACCCGUCGUUUACUGUGAAAAAAUUAGAGUGUUUAAAGCAGGCUUAUGCCGUUGAAUAUAUUAGCAUGGAAUAAUAAGAUAGGACUUCGGAACUAUUUUGUUGGUUUGCGUUACGAAGUAAUGAUUAAUAGGGACAGUUGGGGGUAUUCGUAUUUCGUUGUCAGAGGUGAAAUUCUUGGAUUUCCGAAAGACGAACUACUGCGAAAGCAUUUACCAAGGAUGUUUUCA
rnacentral:rRNA from 1 species